GGGGAUGACGCACGGUGGAGUUGUGGCGGUAGUUGGAAGUUGGGACCCGGGAGUUUUAAAGUAGACGACGAUUGACAGGUAUUUAGGUGGUGAAUUAGAGCUGAGAGAUGCCCUCGUGAUUGACGCCUCAAGAAAAUUGAUGCGAAAAAGUGGUGAGGGUGUUGUUAGAGUCUUAAAAUCAAG